rnacentral:rRNA from 1 species
CAGUAGCCACGGUAAUACGUAGGGUGCGAGCGUUAAUCGGGAUUACUGGGCGUAAAGCGUGCGCAGGCGGUUUUGUAAGACAGGCGUGAAAUCCCCGGGCUCAACCUGGGAAUGGCGCUUGUGACUGCAAAGCUAGAGUGCGGCAGAGGGGGAUGGAAUUCCGCGUGUAGCAGUGAGAUGCGUAGAUAUGCGGAGGAACACCGAUGGCGAAGGCAAUCCCCUGGGCCUGCACUGACGCUCAUGCACGAAAGCGUGGGGAGCAAACAGGAUUAGAUACCCCCGUAGUCCCUGUCUCUUAUAC